AGCGAACGCUGGCGGCAGGCUUAACACAUGCAAGUCGAGCGGGCGUAGCAAUACGUCAGCGGCAGACGGGUGAGUAACGCGUGGGAACAUACCUUUUGGUUCGGAACAACACAGGGAAACUUGUGCUAAUACCGGAUAAGCCCUUACGGGGAAAGAUUUAUCGCCGAAAGAUUGGCCCGCGUCUGAUUAGCUAGUUGGUGAGGUAAUGGCUCACCAAGGCGACGAUCAGUAGCUGGUCUGAGAGGAUGAUCAGCCACAUUGGGACUGAGACACGGCCCAAACUCCUACGGGAGGCAGCAGUGGGGAAUAUUGGACAAUGGGCGCAAGCCUGAUCCAGCCAUGCCGCGUGAGUGAUGAAGGCCUUAGGGUUGUAAAGCCCUUUCGGCGGGGAAGAUAAUGACGGUACCCGCAGAAGAAGCCCCGGCUAACUUCGUGCCAGCAGCCGCGGUAAUACGAAGGGGGCUAGCGUUGCUCGGAAUCACUGGGCGUAAAGCGCACGUAGGCGGGUCUUUAAGUCAGGGGUGAAAUCCUGGAGCUCAACUCCAGAACUGCCUUUGAUACUGAAGAUCUCGAGUUCGGGAGAGGUGAGUGGAACUGCGAGUGUAGAGGUGAAAUUCGUAGAUAUUCGCAAGAACACCAGUGGCGAAGGCGGCUCACUGGCCCGAUACUGACGCUGAGGUGCGAAAGCGUGGGGAGCAAACAGGAUUAGAUACCCUGGUAGUCCACGCCGUAAACGAUGGAUGCUAGCCGUUGGCGGGUUUACCCGUCAGUGGCGCAGCUAACGCUUUAAGCAUCCCGCCUGGGGAGUACGGUCGCAAGAUUA
rnacentral:rRNA from 1 species